GUCUCCAGUAACUGGGACUACAGGCAUGAUAUGAAUAGUGGCAGUCAGGGACAGACUGGAGUGAGAAUAUAUAUUUUAAAUAAAUACACGUUUGUUCCUUCCAAAUAUACUAUUAACAGUAGGCUAUUGAAAAUUGAUUCCUGAUUCCUUUCUUCGCUGUCCAUUUAAAACUCUUGCCAAGGGAGUGUAUAUUUAGGGCAACUUAAAUCUAUGCACCCAAGCUGCAACGUUCAAACUUGGCCCAAAUAAACUCUUUACUCAUAUUAAGAAACAAAACAAAACAAAACGACUGCUGCUUAGUAAAAACCUUUAGGUAGACCAUUAUAGGAAAUAGACAAAAAUGUUUGGUUAAGGCCACUUCAGUUAUUUAUGCCACAGAUGGAAGCUUCUGAAGGGCUGUGACUGAGAGUUAGGUAUGGGAAGUAAGCAGAACCAGUUUGAUUUUCUGUCUUUAAACAACUCCCUGGAACUCCCAUUUUAUUUAUUUCAUUCAUUUUGUUUUUCUAAGAAGCUAAACAAAAGUCAGGUUCAGCUCAGACUUAUCUAAUGAUCAUAAAUUGGAAAGUAAUGAGGUUUUCCUGGAAAAAACUGCCCUUAAAGACUGAGAUGAUAACUGACUUGAAUUUGACAUUUCCUACCCAGAAACAUAUUAUAUAUUUUUGGAAGAUUGCUCCAAAAUUUCUACCAUUCAUAGAUUGUUGCGUGAUAUUUAAAUCCUACAUCUGCCAUUUACUAGCUAAUUAUAGUAUCUCUCUCAUAAGGUUGUUAUGAGGAUUACAUAAACUAACAUAUGUAAAGGGCUUGAAACAGUGCCCAGCACUUAGUAAGCUCACAAUACUUGUUCAUUAUUAUUACAGUACAAACUGGAUCUCUUAGUAGGUCUAAACUCUUUGCCAGAUUUCCUCCAGAAUACAUUUGGUAUGUUGCAUAGGCCUUUGGGCUACUAUCGUUCUUCUCUGCCUGUAGAUACUCAAAAAUACUAAAAAUACUCUUAGGCUUAUAUUUGCCCUUUUGUAUCAGUAGUCUCCCUAUUCACACAAGCUCACCGUAUUCUUUCCCAUCUCUGCACCUUUACUUGGGUCCUUUCCUCUGCCUGGAAUGCCUUUCUCUGAUUAUUAAUCCAGUUAUCCGUCAAGACUCUUUUAAAAUUCUGCCUCUCCUGUGAAAUCUCUAAUCCAAGCAGCUGGAAUUAACUUUUCUUUCCUCUUUGUUGCCAUGGUCUGGACCCCUAAAAUCCUAGGCUUGAAUACAGAAGGGCGCUGCAUCACCUAUACCCUUUCUGGUUUCUCACGUCUCAAAUGCUCAACAUAGCAUACAAGGCUUUUCUUAGUUUGGCCUCUGCUUAACUCUUCUACUUCCUUUACGCUUUUUUCCUUUGCUCACUCAUUUUCAAGCCAUACCAGCCUUUUAUCUUGUUGCCUCUUCUGCUUGGAACUGCCUUGCACCCAUUAUCCACUUGGCUCACUACUUUUCAUUUUUUCAGUCUCUCUUUAAAAGUUACAUCCUUUGGGAAUUUUUCUUGACCUGUCCAAGCCUGGUGGGUUAUGUUAUCCUGUUAUGUGUUCUCCCUGCUCUCUGGUCUUUCCCCUUUCUUGACAUAUUUUAAGAAUUUGUUUAAUGGCUAUUUUCCACCACACUGUAUAUGUCAAGAAGGCAGGCAUUUUAUAUGUCUUGUUUACUUCUGCGUCUUGAGCACCUUGCAUCAUGCCUGACACUUAGAAAACAUUCAACCUAUAUUUGUUUCAUGAAUAAGUUUAAUCCAGACUUAUUGUAGAAAUGGAAAUAUGGAGGCCCAGAAAGGGAGAGGGAUUUACUCAAGGUCACACAGAGAAUCAGUGGCAGAGAAAAGACUGUAGCCCAGAUCUUACGACGCUUAGUGCAGUGCUCUUUUCUAUAUAUGCACCUCCGCCGUUGUACUCAUUCUUUGAACAUGCUUAUGUAGCAUUCUGGUUUCUGGACUAGGUUCUGAAUUCCUGGAGGGCUGGGACCAUGUCUUAUACCUGAUCUGGUCAAUACAGUAGCCACUAGCCACAUAUGACAAUUUCACACUAGAAACAUGGCAAGUUCAAAUUGAGAUGUACUAUUUGUAUACACACUGCAUUUCAAAUAAUGUAAAAUAUCUUAUUAAUAAACGUUUACAUUGUUUACAGGUUGAAAUAACAUUGUGGAUGUGUUGAGCUAAAUAAACUAUAUUAUUAAAAUUAGUUUCACUUAUUUAUUAAAAAUUUUUAAAUGCAGUUGUUAGAAUAAUUGUGGCUCACAUUACAUUUGUAUUAUAUUGUUGCAUAUUUCUGUUCUGUUGUAUGUUUAUUUUAUUCCCUUGGUGCUAAGCAUACAGCUUUGUAGCCGCUAGGUGCACAACACACCCUUGCUGCAUAUAGUUAAGCUGUAGUUAGUAGGUUAAUUGCUGCCAUUUAUCUUGUCAAUAUCACUGUUUUGUGGUGAGCCUCACAAUGAAACCUUUGUCCCCAGGCCCAGGUAUACAAAAAGUUCUUUAGUUCUGGCCUGGGGAUGCCCUACACGUUGCAUCAGCCUUUGGAUUUCCUUUCAGAGGAAACCACGAUGCAAUCCUAUGCAUAGCAAUCACCAGGGGUGAGGUGGCGUGUGUGGACACCAGCAGCUUGCACAGGAAGUGGCCUUAGCUUUGCAAUUUUCCCUAGGGCCACUUCUUGAAAGUCUUCUGAAAGGAGGUGGGGGUGAGUGAACAGGAAGAUAAACUCAAAAUGAAGGGUGAAGGGCUUCUCAGCUCCUUCAUGGAGGUAGGGUAAGCUAAGCAAUGUGGGGACAUUGGGCCAUGAGGUCUCUUUGUUUUGCUUAUGCAUUCACUUAUUCACCUCACAGUUCUGGGAUAACUAGUUUAUUCCUAGGCCUAGGAAGACAGUAAAGAUUAAGCAUAGUUCCUACUUUGGGCAGUGCUUGGUCUUCUGGUAGAGACUGACACAUAAGUGCAGUGUGGGUGUUUUUCAAGAAUAGAGAAGGGCAAGGUGGAAAGCAACUAAUUUUGUAGGUGGUUGUCAGAGAAGGCUUUCCAGAGACAGUGAGCAUCAUUUUUUCCUCCCUAUCUUUUCAGAUAUAGCUAAAAUCUUAUUCUUCUGAGAACCUUUCUACUUACCAUCACCUCCUCAUCUUCUUCCCUGGGAGAAUCUUAUCUACAUAUCUGAUGACACUUCAUGCCUUUGUCAAAUUACUUAUUAUAUUCUGUAGAGUGACAUAGCUCCUGGGGUGCACGCCUGUCUUCCACUUCCCUUUAGCCUGAGAAUCCUUGAAUCUGAUGUGGGGACUAAGGCUCAGAAAGACUGUGUAUGAUUGUUCAAGGUCACAUAGUUAAUGAGUUACAGAGCUUUGUCUAUAACCUAGGGUCUAAGAUGCAGGGACUCUGAUUCCAUGUUCUUUCCAUUCCAGUACUGAGGAAAUAAAUGAGUAUCUGCAGUGUGAGACCCCAGCACUGCCUGCUUGCUCCCCUUGUCAACUCUUUUCCCUUCUGUCUCAUCUCCCUCCACAAGCACAGGGAAGGCAGAAAUCAUUCAAAAUGGGAAAGCUUUGUGACUUUUGGUUGCUCUGAACAGAAACCUGGACAACAGACCAAAAAGAAGAAGCCCUUUUGUGCUGUUAUUGCAAACUUGGCCCUUCCCAGCAUAGUUGGUGUUUGUGGGCUAAAGACGAACUCUGAGCUCAGUUCCCUUUGCUCUCAUUCGAGUCCUCUGCAUAGGUGACACCAAGGGCCCUUCAAAACACACAACCUUCUUGCUCACGGCAUAAAGCCCAGUUCCAUCUGGCCCCUGCAGGUUGGCUCAGCACUGGGGAACCAGUGUCCCCUCCAUGACCAAGGCACCACUCCACUGACAGGUAUGGUAUCAAUUUGCCCUCUCUUCUUGCAUUCCCAAGCUAGGGCAGUGUCUAUGGCAGCCAAGGGUGGCUUGGAUCUGCCCAUUCCAUUUUCCUCAGAUCUUCCUCAGGGAAUCAAUGUCAAAGGUGGGGGAAGAAGGUUUCCAUUGACUUUCCAUCCUGGAACUUCUAGUAGUGGGGAAAAGGGGAUAGGAUAUUUUCUAGCCAAUUAGUAUGUUUAGGAGAAAGUCACAUGGAAGUGGAAUGUUCUUUGGACCCAGGAGUCAGAAAACCGUAGUAGCAGUCCUGGUUUUACCAUUUACCCAGUGUGUAUCUUUGGGAAAGUCCUUUCUCCAAUCUAGGACUCAGCUUUUUCACCCCUUUUGUAAAAUAAAUAAAUAAAUAAAUAAAUAAGAAAAGAAUGAUUAGAUGAGUUCUGUAUAGAGACUUUUAGUUAUUAGAUUCCUUAUUUUUAUGAUUGUCAGCCCUCUGUCAAGAAAGAAGAUGUGAGUAAUCUUUGCAUAUGUAACUGUGGGUGGGGCUGAACACAUCCAAGAGGAGAGCUGGUGGUAAUCCAUAUAGCACUCUAUAUGGAGUGCAUGGCUCAAAGAUGAAAGCCUUUUCUCUAGUCCAAUUUUUGACUCCUAGAAGUUCAAAAUUGAAAGACUCUUAGAGACCAGGUACAUGUGGAAGAAGAAACUGAGGUCCAGAAAGAGGAAGAAAGGGACUUGCCCAAGGUCAUACAGAGAAUCUGUAGGAGAGCUGGGUCUGGAUUCCCAGGCCAGUCCUCUUUUUGCUCUGUCCUCAGAGGACAGAGACAUCAAGCAGCAGAACCUGUCCUAUAACUGACUCAGUUGGGCCUCCUCAUAGUAGAGGCAGUCUGGAUUUUUUAGGCAUGGUCCUGAGGACUUCUUUUCUUCUAUUCUUCUUUCAGAUACUUGGCUCACUCUAAGUGUUCAGAGAUUCCCAGACACCUACCCCUCCUACUUCUGGUUGGUUCCCUCCAAUUCCCUCCAUAAAAACUGACCCAUCUUUUGUGCCAAUAAUAGUGGCUUUGUGAAGCUCUUCAAUAGAAGAUUUUGCAUUUCAUAUGGGAGAAAAAUGAUGUUAUUCCAAAUAAUGUAACAGACAAAGAAAAGAGCUUCCAAAUUCCUUUAAUAUCAUCCCACAUAGACAUUUAUCUCUAUGGGUCUGGCCAACAUUUCUCAACUGAACCUGAUUUUCUUAUAUACACUCCAUUGGAGAGGCAUGGACUAGAACAGCAAGAGUGGAAAUGAAACCAGUCUAGUUUCAGCUCAGCCACUAACUUCUUCCAUCAAUAUUAGAGCAUUAUUGUCUACAAGUACCUCCAAAUUUUGAAGUACUAAGAAUUUUCAGCUCUUUUCAUGCCUUCUUUCCAGGCUUUCUGGGGGUCAAUAAAGUCAGAGAGGGCAUUCAAAAGGCUGUGAAUACCUGCAGCUUAUCUAGGCCUUCUUACUGGAGCUGGUAGCCAAUGAGGGUAAUGAUAUAAAAAAGGUAAAAAUAUAUUUCUCUUUUGCCUGCCAUCCCCAACUCAAACUCUGUUAAUCAGCUUGCUUGGCUGGCCUCCAACCACAGGUCUAGGGAAUGAGCCAAAGUCCUUUUGGGCUCCGGUGUGGGAAUCUCUGGAAAGCUUAGCAACGCUUUCCAACAACUUCGCCAGGUAAGUGUUCUUGUCCUUAUUUCCAGAGAAGACAACUGAAGCCCGAAGAAAUACUUGCCCAAGCCAUGAUUGUCUAGUUGAUGGCCAAGACAGCAUCAGAACACAAGUUUGUCUGAUUUUUUCAUACCAUAUCUGGUGACCAUGACUGCUGCUUUUGCUGCUGGGUGACUUAGGCUGGAUUGAGUAGGUAGAAAAGGAAGCGAGGGAGCAAAUGAGCCUUAGUUUUGAGGUUACUGCUAGAACUUAAAUUGAAGGGGCAUGUUAACCCCUUACAUUCAAUUAAAAGAGUUGAGCAAGAAAAAACAUUGAGUGUUUUCUUGCUGAAAAACAAGGCUGAAUCCUUCUGUCUUGCCUUGGCUGGAACAGGGCUUUCUGGCCUCGUGGGGACAGUUUUCCAUUUAUGGCAACCUUGAGAUUUUUGCCACUUUUCAUGACAGUAUUUAAUGUAGACCAGCUACCUGCUCACAGAUCGACUGCCACAGCUGGUAAGGGCAAUAAUUUGACCCUGGCAACCCGGCAUUUUUAGUAACAAGUUCUGAGUGUUGCCAAGGGAAUUCUCCCAGAAGUUUCAGACCUGACCCUUCUUCUGGCAUCUUCCUUAUUGCACUGGUGACUUGUGGGUUCAGUGAUCCCAAAUGCUGCAUUGCAAAGGUACUGUCUGUUUUUGCCCUCUUUGUUGCUGUGUCUCCCCUUUCCUAGAGGAAUAUACGGAGAAGGGAGGCAAAAGAACCAAUGAGGAAAGCUGUAUAAUGCAUACUGCUGAACUAUAGAAAACUUAUUGUAUAAACUUUACAAGUCUCCUCCCCAACAUGAGCCUUUGUUCUCUCAUUUAUAACCUAAGUGAGUGAGACUAGAUGAUCUUUAAGGGCACUUUAAUAGCUGCCAUUCUUGAGUCCCUAUGGGACAAAAGGAUCAUGUUAGGCAAGGCUGAGACCAAGAGAAAUCAAUGUCACACCUGUCCAGAUUCUGCUAAAUCAAUUGCCAAUAGCUCUUGCUUUCAUUUUGGUGUUACAAUCACUAUUUUUUUUGAGCAUUUGUUAUGUAUUGAAUACUGAACCAAAGGCUUUAAGUGCAUUUUCUCCUGUCAUUCUCACAAUAACCUUAUGAGGUAGGUAUUAUGCUUACAUACAUUUUGUGGGAGUAGCAAACUUGCGCUCAGAGAGGUGAAAUGAUUUAUCCAAAGUUGUCUGGCUAGCUAAUGGAAGAGCUAGGAUUUAAGCUCAUGUUUAACCUCAAAGCCUAUGUAUAUAGCCACAACACUGUGAAAACACAUCUUGGGGGAACUGAGAAGAAGAGGGAGCAAGGAUGAUGACUCUGGAAUCUGGUACUUUCCCCAAGUCAGACAGGCAGGAUGAUGACCAAAUUUUCUCCUCUUUUCUUCAUAGAGGAAACCACUGAAGCUUGGGACACCUAGAAAUGCCAUAGCUACAGGACUCAGGUCUGAGGACCUUCCAGCUGAGCACUGGGUGUCAAUCAGGCCUUCCCUGCUUGUCCUUAGGAUCUCUCUUCUGGUUAGGAACCUUAUGCCUGUUCUGCUCACUUCCCUAUUCUGGUGCUUGGACUGGUCUUUUCGCAAGUUUUCUGGGGCUAAGAGUGUGAUCUCAUCACUUCUUUCUCUCUCUUUCCCUCCAGGGUCACAUCUCCCAGGAAGAUCUCACCUUCCCACAGAAGCCCCUGGCCUGGCCUCCUGCAGUGCCACACUCCGUGUAUUUGACAAGCUGAGUUGGACACUCCGUGUGGUAGAGUGUCAGUUUGUCAAAUACCCCAAGUGCGACACAUGCUUAGCAGCUCCAGACCAGGGCAGAUGGGAUAUAACAGAUGAACUGCCAGCUGGAUACAAGGAUGCUCACCAAGCACCAAGUUCUCAUGAGUUAUUUUAUGUGACUUUGCAGGAACUGAUGCAUUAUAUCUGAGGACACCAGGGGAAAAGUGUGGCAUAUGUGGGCAAUACAGCCCUGGGCUUCGUCUACACACAUCAUGAGAGUGCUGAUGGGAGCACAAUAGUCUUGAAAAUGUAUAAACGGUCCAGGAAUGGAAGUGCUCAUGGAUACAUUAUUAUUUUCUUCCUUCACAUUCUCCUCCCAGAGUCUCCCAUCUAGGACACCAGAAUUCUCACAUAAGCAUCAUAGCUUAUGUGAGAAAGCAGGGCUUAGAAAUUCACUUUCUUGAUGCUCAGUCUUGGCUUCUAAAUACUCCUUGACCUUGCCUACCUCUUCCCUUUUCCACGUCUUUUCGUCUAGGGAGACUUUCCCCAUUUAUUUCUGUCUAUUCAAAUCUUCCCCAUAUUUCCUGGCCUAGCCAAAGUCCAGUGUUUCCAGAGACUUUUAAAAAUCAACUUAUACUUUUUCCUUCUUCACUCACAAAGCACUUCUUGCCUGGGCCCUGGUAUGUGCCUCUUUCUCUCUUACUGUCUAACAGCACCUCUUGAAUUGUCAAUGAACUUUUCUAGGGGAGUAUUCUUGAAUUUUCAACUAGAUUGUGAGCUUCUAGAAGACACGGCUAUGUAUCUUUGAUUGCUGUCUCCCCUACCACAGCCCAGUACUUUGGUUACAGAAACAAAUAAACCUUUAUUGAUUGAUUGAC